AGCUGGCGUAAAACUCGCAACAGAGCCACGCUGAUAGGACGACGAACAAAUGUCGUGAAAAUUUAAUCCUAAAAGCGAGCGAAUAGCGAUUUUGGGAGAUUGGUGCGGGAAUCAGCUCAAGUGAAUUCGAGGUUAUGCAAAUUUUUUGAGCGAAACUUUGAGGUCAGGAGCGAAUUUGUUAUGAAUUUAUUUGAAAAAGUUCAAAAAUUAGAAUACAUAUUUCAGGAAAUUUUUAAAAAAAUUUAAAUUUGUGAUUAUUUUAUUUUCAAAAAGAGCUAAAAUUGUUUAAAAUUUUGAAAAAAAACCAAAAUAAACCAAAAAUCUUAAUUUUAAAAGAAAUUUGGAUGUAUUUUCAGUGAAUACAAGCCUGGAAAUCAUCUGGAAUUCAUAAGGAACUGCUUCAAAAUCAACAAAAGCAUCAUCGCUGUCUUCAAAGAAUCAUAUCAAAAAUGAAAUUUAAGUAAUUUUGAAGUACUAAAAUAUUUUCUGUCAGUUUUUGUUGAUGAAUACCCGAAACAUCAAGACUGGAAAUCAUCUGGAAUUCAUAGGGAACUGCCUAAAUAUAAAAAAAAUCAUCACCGCUGUCUCAAAAAAAAAACUUUCAAAAAUGAAAUUCAAGUAAUUUUGAAGUACUAAAAUAUUUUUCGUCGGUUUUUCUCAAUUAAUAUCUGAUACAUCAAGUCUGGAAAUCACCUGGAAUUCAUGAAUACUUUCAUCCUAAUCAAAAAUGUAAACAAAAGCUCCUCUGCGGUCUCAAAAAAGUCUUAUUCUGAAUUAUAAAAAUCAAAUUUCAAGAAUUUCCGAACGACUUUUGUUCAAAAUUCUAAAAGUUUUAAUAAUUUUCAAAAAUACAAGCCUUGAAAUCAUUCGGAAUUCAUGAUGAAACUCAUCAAAACUCCUCCUCCUUUUGAAAAACAUCACAAAGUAAUUAAAAUUUUGAUCAUUUUUCACUGUUAUUUAAUUCUCCUUCUCUAUUUUUAAUGUUUCAUAACAUAUGAAAGCAUAUAUCAUACGUGCGAUAUCCUGUCACUCGAUUACAAGCGAAGCGAUCAAGGAACCUUUUUCAAUGCUACACGACAACCAUUCAGAUCCUUAUUUUAUUUGCCUAUAAUCGUGUAGCCACUUUUGAAUUCUAAUGAAUUACGGUUACAACUCUAUUUAUCAUCAUAGGUAAAAAAAAAAUUU